UGUGCUUUGUUUGGCAAGGGCGAUAGCUCAGUUGGGAUGGAUUGCUGGUCCUGCUGUGAUGUUCCUCUUCUCCUUUGUGAUUUACUAUACUUCGUGCCUCCUCGCCGACUAUUACAGGUCGGGCAGUCCAGACUCGGGGAAGCGAAAUUACACUUACGUGGAUGCUGUUCGAUCCAACCUCGGUGGAGUUAAGGUCAAGAUUUGUGGUGUUAUUCAGUAACUGAACCUUUUCGGUGUCGCUAUCGGAUACACUAUUGCAGCAUCUAUAAGCCUGAGGGCCAUUAAGCAAUCCAAUUGCUUCCAUGAGAAAGGAUAAUAGCCCAUAUCUUAUAUCUAGCAACCCGUUCAUGAUCAUGUUCGGAGUCGCUGAGAUUCUCUUCUCCCAGAUCCCAGACUUCGAUCAGAUAUGGUGGCUCUCCAUUGUUGCAGCUGUUAUGUAAUUCACUUACUCUACAAUUGGUCUCGCGCUUGGAAUCACCAAAAUUGAAGGUUUGAAAUUUAAUUCUUUAAAAAUCUUUCCUUUCCCUGCUUCUACAGAUUCAAUUACUUUAAUUUCAGUGAAACCCAAUUGAAGCUGUUUCUUUCUCUGCAACCAGAGACUGGGAAAGUCAGGGGAAGCCACAUCAGAAUAAGCAUCGGCGCACU